UCAUGAUGAUGACGAUGAUGAUGAUGAUGAUGAUGAUGAUGAUCAUCAUCAUCAUCAUCAUCAUCAUCGCUAAUA
rnacentral:pre_miRNA from 1 species